UGGUACCUCCCCCACCACCAACAGAAGUGGCUGUUGUCAAAGAAAUAAUCCACUGCAAAAGCUGUACUCUUUUUCCUCAAAAUCCAAAUCUUCCACCUCCUUCCACAAGAGAACGACCUCCUGGGUGUAAGACCGUGUUUGUCGGAGGAUUACCAGAAAAUGCUACUGAGGAAAUUAUUCAAGAAGUCUUUGAACAGUGCGGUGAUAUUACAGCAAUUCGGAAAAGCAAGAAGAAUUUUUGUCACAUUCGCUUUGCAGAGGAAUUCAUGGUUGAUAAAGCCAUUUACCUUUCUGGUACUUUGCAUUACAUAAGGAGUUUUCUAGGCAUUUUGUUAUGUUUUGUGAUGUUAAUAUGAGCUUAUUCCCUUUGGCCUUCAUGCAAAAUAAAGUCUUCAUAGUUUGGGGCUGGAAAA
rnacentral:lncRNA from 1 species